UUUGCAAUCCAAUUCCUCAUUCUCACCCAUCCUCGUUGCUCAUCAUUUAUGUUAAGAAGGGAAGAUUUGGUUGGGGGUGGGGUGUUUUGGGAAGAAAGAUUAGAAUAAAAUAAGAACCAACAGCAACUAGUGGGGAGGGGAAGAAAAUAUAAUCUAGAAAAUAUAUAAACAAUGAAAGAAAUUAUGCAAGCAGCUGUAACUAAGACCGAAAAUUUCCACUGACUAUAAGAAAACCUGCCAAUAAGAUACUCAGGGCAGAAAGUGGAUGGAGUCUCUGGUCAACACAGCUCUUAAAACCUAAGAUAGCUUCCCAGCCAGCCUUCCUCCCGGUUCCUUGUCCUUACCCCUACCUUCUUCCAGUACUUUGAAAACAGGUAUCAACAUUGAUGUUUGAGGCCUGGCGCAGUGGCUCACUCUUGUAAUCCCAGUACUUUGGGAGGCUGAAGCGGGCGGAUCACUUGAGGUCAGGAGUUCAAGACCAGCCCGACCAACAUGGCGAAACCCUGUUUCUACUAAUAAAACAAAAAUUAGUCGGGCGUGGUGGAGCAUGCCUGUAGUCCCAACUACUCGGGAGGCUGAGGCAAGAGAACUGCUUGAACCCGAGAAGCGGAAGUUGCAGUGAGCCGAGAUCAUGCCACUGCACUCCAGUCUGGGCGACAGAGUGAGACUGUCUCAAACAAACAAACAAAAAGAACAAUGUUUGAGGCAGGGCAUGGUGGCAGGAGCCUAUAGUCUCAGCUACUGGGGAGGCUAAAGCAGGAGGAUCACUUGAGCUCAAGAGCCUGACAGCAACCUGGGUUAACAGAGCAAGACCCUGAAAAGCCUUCUAUGUAGUAACCAGACAAGGUACAGAUCUCCAUACUGGGCACCAUCAUAUAGAUGGCUAUUGCAUCACACAGACAACCUUCAUUAAAGGAAGACACCAAGACAGGAGCUGCUCAGGGGCCACUGGGCACUGCGGUUAGAAAGCCAGGACAAGACAGGAAAGUCAGUCUGCUUGUCAAGAAAAAAAUGAUGGAUCUGCUCUGGAGGUCAAAAGAAAUGAGACUGCUGGGCUAAGAUCAAGGUGUCAGCAGGGCUGUAUUCCUUCCCAAGGCUCCAGGGGAGAAUCUGUUCACUUGCCUUUCCCAGCUUCUAGAGGUUGCCUACAUUCCUUGGCUUGCGGACCCUUCCUCCAUCUCCAGAAUCAGUAACGAAAGAUCCAAAGCCAUAUCCUGGCUGAGUUGGCUGAGUUGAGCAGGACACUGACAAGGAGGCUGCUGAGCCUGCAACUCGACUGUUCUGUUUGAGGAGCUCUGUGCUUUAUCAUAGAAAUGGAUCUGAGGUGGGGUGUUGCUUUGUCUUGUGAUCGCAGCUCACGGCAGCCUUGGACUCGUGGGCACGAGCAAUCCUCCCACUUCAGCCUCCCAAGUAGCUGGGACCACAGGUACAUGCCACUGCACCUGGCCUAGUAUUCUCUAUCAAAUACUUAUUCAACAGUUAAAAUCUAUAUAGACCUUUGAGAUAGGAUAAUAAAAUAUUAUAGCUUGUAAUAAUUUUUU
rnacentral:lncRNA from 1 species